UGGACGGUUGGCUGAGCGGCGAAAGCAACCGGCUGUAACCCGGUCGUCGAAAGACCACAGAGGUUCGAGUCCUCUACCGCCCAUCC
rnacentral:tRNA from 1 species